CUACGUGCCAGCAGCCGCGGUAAUACGGAAGGUCCGGGCGUUAUCCGGAUUUAUUGGGUUUAAAGGGAGCGUAGGCUGGAGAUUAAGUGUGUUGUGAAAUGUAGACGCUCAACGUCUGACUUGCAGCGCAUACUGGUUUUCUUGAGUACGCACAACGUUGGCGGAAUUCGUCGUGUAGCGGUGAAAUGCUUAGAUAUGACGAAGAACUCCGAUUGCGAAGGCAGCUGACGGGAGCGCAACUGACGCUGAAGCUCGAAGGUGCGGGUAUCGAACAGGAUUAGAUACCCUGGUAGUCCGCACAGUAAACGAUGGAUGCCCGCUGUUGGUACGUGGUAUCAGCGGCUAAGCGAAAGCAUUAAGCAUCCCACCUGGGGAGUACGCCGGCAACGGUGAAACUCAAAGGAAUUGACGGGGGCCCGCACAAGCGGAGGAACAUGUGGUUUAAUUCGAUGAUACGCGAGGAACCUUACCCGGGCUUGAAUUGCAGAGGAAGUAUUUAGAGAUA
rnacentral:rRNA from 1 species